CAAGUCGAACGCGAAAGUUCCCUUCGGGGAGCGAGUAGAGUGGCGCACGGGUGAGUAACACGUAGGUAAUCUACCUUUGGAUUGGGAAUAACACCGAGAAAUCGGUGCUAAUACCGAAUAAUGCAGCGGCACCUAAUGGUGACAGUUGUUAAAGCGGGGGAUCGCAAGACCUCGCGUCUAAAGAGGAGCCUGCGGCGGAUUAGCUAGUUGGUAAGGUAACGGCUUACCAAGGCGAUGAUCCGUAGCCGGCCUGAGAGGGCGGUCGGCCACACUGACACUGACAUACGGGUCAGACUCCUACGGGAGGCAGCAGUCGGGAAUUUUGGGCAAUGGGCGAAAGCCUGACCCAGCAACGCCGCGUGAAGGAUGAAAUCCCUCGGGAUGUAAACUUCGCAAGAACGGGAAGAAUAAGUCGGUGCGAACACCAUCGACGAUGACGGUACUGUUUGUAAGCUCCGGCUAACUCCGUGCCAGCAGCCGCGGUAAUACGGGGGGAGCAAGCGUUGUUCGGAUUUACUGGGCGUAAAGGGCGCGUAGGCGGCCACCGCAAGUCGACUGUGAAAUCUCCGGGCUUAACUCGGAAAGGUCAGCCGAUACUGCGGGGCUAGAGUGCAGAAGGGGCAACUGGAAUUCUCGGUGUAGCGGUGAAAUGCGUAGAUAUCGAGAGGAACACCUGCGGCGAAGGCGGGUUGCUGGGCUGACACUGACGCUGAUUGUGCGAAAGCUAGGGGAGCGAACGGAAUUAGAUACCCCGGUAGUCCUAGCCUUAAACGAUGAAUGCUUGGUGUCUGGGGGUUUUAUAGUCCCCGGGUGCCGUCGCUAACGCUUUA
rnacentral:rRNA from 1 species